rnacentral:rRNA from 1 species
AGGACGAACGCUGGCGGCGUGCUUAGCACAUGCAAGUCGAACGGAAAGGCCCGCUUGCGGGUACUCGAGUGGCGAACGGGUGAGUAACACGUGGGCAACCUGCCCUCAGCUUCGGGAUAACACUUGGAAACAGGUGCUAAUACCGGAUAAUAACCUUUCAUCGCAUGGUGUGGGGUUCAAAGUUUUUCGGCUGGGGAUGGGCCCGCGGCCUAUCAGCUUGUUGGUGGGGUAAUGGCCUACCAAGGCGACGACGGGUAGCCGGCCUGAGAGGGCGACCGGCCACACUGGGACUGAGACACGGCCCAGACUCCUACGGGAGGCAGCAGUGGGGAAUAUUGCGCAAUGGGCGGAAGCCUGACGCAGCGACGCCGCGUGAGGGAUGACGGCCUUCGGUUGUAAACCUCUUUCAGCUCUGACGAAGCGCAAGUGACGGUAGGAGCAGAAGAAGCACCGGCCAACUACGCGCCAGCAGCCGCGGUAA